CUAGCCUACGGGGGGCAGCAGUGGGGAAUAUUGCACAAUGGGGGAAACCCUGAUGCAGCGACGCCGCGUGAGUGAAGAAGUAUCUCGGUACGUAAAGCUCUAUCAGCAGGGAAGAAAAAAAGUCCUUUGGACUUUGGACGGUACCUGACCAAGAAGCCCCGGCUAACUACGUGCCAGCAGCCGCGGUAAUACGUAGGGGGCAAGCGUUAUCCGGAUUUAUUGGGUUUAAAGGGUGCGCAGGCGGCGAGUUAAGUCAGCGGUAAAAUUUCGGGGCUCAACCCCGACGAGCCGUUGAAACUGG
rnacentral:rRNA from 1 species